UAGGGAAUCUUCGGCAAUGGACGGAAGUCUGACCGAGCAACGCCGCGUGAGUGAAGAAGGUUUUCGGAUCGUAAAGCUCUGUUGUUAGAGAAGAACGUUGGUAGGAGUGGAAAAUCUACCAAGUGACGGUAACUAACCAGAAAGGGACGGCUAACUACGUGCCAGCAGCCGCGGUAAUACGUAGGUCCCGAGCGUUGUCCGGAUUUAUUGGGCGUAAAGCGAGCGCAGGCGGUUCUUUAAGUCUGAAGUUAAAGGCAGUGGCUUAACCAUUGUAACGCUUGGAAACCUGAGGACUUUAGUGCAGGAGGGGAGAGGUGAAUUCCAUGUGUAGCGGUGAAAUGCGUAGAUAUAUGGAGGAACACCGGUGGCGAAAGCGGCUCUCUGGUCUGUUACUGACGCUGAGGCUCGAAAGCGUGGGGAGCAAACAGG
rnacentral:rRNA from 1 species